GGGGGAAUAUUGCACAAUGGGCGGAAGCCUGAUGCAGCGACGCCGCGUGAGGGAUGACGGCCUUCGGGUUGUAAACCUCUUUCAGUAGGGACGAAGCGUAAGUGACGGUACCUGCAGAAGAAGCACAGGCUAACUACGUGCCAGCAGCCGCGGUAAUACGUAGGGUGCGAGCGUUGUCCGGAAUUACUGGGCGUAAAGAGCUCGUAGGCGGUUUGUCACGUCGUCUGUGAAAUCCUAGGGCUUAACCCUGGACGUGCAGGCGAUACGGGCUGACUUGAGUACUACAGGGGAGACUGGAAUUUCUGGUGUAGCGGUGGAAUGCACAGAUAUCAGGAAGAACACCGAUGGCGAAGGCAGGUCUCUGGGUAGUAACUGACGCUGAGGAGCGAAAGCAUGGGUAGCGAACAGG
rnacentral:rRNA from 1 species